CCUACGGGAGGCAGCAGUGGGGAAUCUUGCGCAAUGGGCGAAAGCCUGACGCAGCCAUGCCGCGUGAAUGAUGAAGGUCUUAGGAUUGUAAAAUUCUUUCACCGGGGACGAUAAUGACGGUACCCGGAGAAGAAGCCCCGGCUAACUUCGUGCCAGCAGCCGCGGUAAUACGAAGGGGGCUAGCGUUGCUCGGAAUUACUGGGCGUAAAGGGAGCGUAGGCGGAUAGUUUAGUCAGAGGUGAAAGCCCAGGGCUCAACCUUGGAAUUGCCUUUGAUACUGGCUAUCUUGAGUUUGGGAGAGGUGAGUGGAACUCCGAGUGUAGAGGUGAAAUUCGUAGAUAUUCGGAAGAACACCAGUGGCGAAGGCGACUCACUGGCCCAAUACUGACGCUGAGGCUCGAAAGCGUGGGGAGCAAACAGGAUUAGAUACCCUGGUAGUCCACGCCGUAAACGAUGAGUGCUAGUUGUCGGCAUGCAUGCAUGUCGGUGACGCAGCUAACGCAUUAAGCACUCCGCCUGGGGAGUACGGUCGCAAGNUUAAAACGUCAAAGGAAUUGACGGCUGAGACGNGCGAGCGACGACGAGGGAGAG
rnacentral:rRNA from 1 species